CGAGGUAUUGAAUAAGAUUUUAAAUGAGUGCUAAGAGAAUGAUUAAACAAUUAAAAGCUUUCUUUAAUUGAAUAAUUGAAUUUAAUUUUUUAGUGCAAAAGCAAAAAUAAAAAUUAGGGACAAGAAGACCCUAUGAAUUUUUUAUUAAAUUUUAUAAAACUUUAUAUAAAAUUUAAUUUAAUUGGGGUGAUGGAAAAAGAAUAAAUAUCUUUUUUUAAAAAAAAAUUGGUUCCGUUUUUAGCGAUUAAAUGAAAAAAAUACUCUAGGGAAAACAGCGUAAA
rnacentral:rRNA from 1 species